ACAGGAUAUUACUGCAUUGGUUAAAUUACAUCAAAGACCAAUUGAAGGAAACUCUGAAGAGUACUGGUACAGACCAAAAUUCCUGGGAAAUGGCGUCCAACCAGCACACUGUUGAGCAAUAACAGAGCAAUAAGCGAAUAAACUAAAAAGAGAUGAUAGAGGAAAUUUUAAUAUAAAUAAGUGGGUGACUAGGUAAGUAUGACAGUACUUACUAGCUGUUGAAAGAGUGAAGAAACAAACCAAACAAUAACAAUCUGCUUUCCCCUGAAACCCCAGAAUUAGUCAGCCCAUAUAUUUUUAUAAGCUAAGUUUUUAUUAGCACAAUGUUCAGAUGUUCAAGAAUCGGUAAUAUCAAAUUAAUUAAGUACAACCAAAUUAAUGUUUAUUGAACCACAACUGAAAAACAGAACCAAAAUCUUUCAAAAAUAACUCUUGAUCUGUAAUGGAAAUCUUUAAUGAAUUUUGAAAGCAU